GGAGAGGUGGCAGAGUGGUAAUGCAGCAGAUUGCUAAUUUGUAGCCGGUUUCGGCUCCUGAGUUCGAGUCUCAGUCUCUCCG
rnacentral:tRNA from 1 species